rnacentral:rRNA from 1 species
UGCGCAGGCGGCCAGGUGUGUGAGGCGUGAAAGCCCGGGGCUCAACCCCGGAAUUGCACCUCAAACUACAUGGCUAGAGUACUGGAGAGGGAGACGGAAUUCACGGUGUAGCAGUGAAAUGCGUAGAUAUCGUGAGGAACACCAGAGGCGAAGGCGGUCUCCUGGACAGUUACUGACGCUCAGGCACGAAAGCGUGGGGAGCAAAAGGGAUUAGAUACCCCUGUAGUCCACGCCCUAAACUGUGCACACUAGGUCUUGGUGGAUUCGACCCCCCCAGGGCCCAAGCUAACGCGUUAAGUGUGCCGCCUGAGGACUACGGCCGCAAGGCUAAA